rnacentral:lncRNA from 1 species
GAAAGACAGAUCUGCGAAUAGCUUGUACUGUGCAUUUUAAAAACAAUGCUGUAAGGAAAAUAGUUUUAGGUUACAUGACUAGUACUCGUGAAUAAAAGGAAAACAGGACUUACCAGUGCAGUUGAACAAACCUGGCUGUGCCUUGGGCAGUGUCAGGCGCAGCCUGGGCAGGAGGCAGAGCCACACAGGAAAGCCUUGACCGGGGCCCAUCUUCCGUCAGUCUUGACACCACCUCCUGCCCUGAUCUCCAGAUGGUGUCUCUGCUGAUGGCUCCCAGCCUGUACACAUGUGUUCAGUGACUUAACCAGUGUCUUCGCCCCACAAGCUCAAGCCCUCCUCUCCCUGCCAGCGCCUGCUCCUGCUCUUCUGACAGAAUCUGAGUGUCGUGUUUGACUCUUGCUGCUGUUGUGACCUCAAGUCCUGUGUUUUAUGUCCUAUGCACAGCUCAGGUCUGUGCCCUUGCUCCAGCCUCAUCGCCCCAUCUUCUGACUCCCAAAAGGUUGUACCAUUCACACUCCAUACCCUGCGAAUUCCUUUUGAAGAAUUCUGUUCUUUUUCCUUCUCAUUUUCUUUUCACAAAGAAUCUGGUUCCUGGAUGAGCCAGUGCCUGAGGAUUCUGAAUCUGGAGUCCCACAUACUUCUGCUCCCCUUCUGCUGCCUGAUAACAAAAGAUGCGGAUGCAGUCCUGGGGAGCGGUCACCGGAGAAGCCAGGAGAAAAACUGUCCCCGGA